rnacentral:rRNA from 1 species
UACGUUCCCGGACCUUGUACACACCGCCCGUCAAACAAUGGGAGUCGGGGAGACCUGAAGACAGUGACCAUCUAGGAGCUGUUAAGGGUAAAAUCGGCGACUAAUGUU